rnacentral:tRNA from 1 species
GCCCAUAUAGCUCAGUGGUAGAGCACUCCCUUGGUAAGGGAGAGGUCACCGGUUCAAGUCCGGUUAUGGGCACCA